GAUGAACGCUGGCGGCGUGCCUAAUACAUGCAAGUCGAACGAAACUUCUUUAUCACCGAGUGCUUGCACUCACCGAUAAAGAGUUGAGUGGCGAACGGGUGAGUAACACGUGGGCAACCUGCCCAAAAGAGGGGGAUAACACUUGGAAACAGGUGCUAAUACCGCAUAACCAUAGUUACCGCAUGGUAACUAUGUAAAGGUGGCUAUACUACCGCUUUUGGAUGGGCCCGCGGCGCAUUAGCUAGUUGGUAGGGUAAAGGCUUACCAAGGCAAUGAUGCGUAGCCGAAUUGAGAGGUUGAUCGGCCACAUUGGGACUGAGACACGGCCCAAACUCCUACGGGAGGCAGCAGUAGGGAAUCUUCCACAAUGGGCGAAAGCCUGAUGGAGCAACGCCGCGUGGGUGAAGAAGGUCUUCGGAUCGUAAAACCCUGUUGUUAGAGAAGAAAGUGCGUGAGAGUAACUGUUCACGUUUCGACGGUAUCUAACCAGAAAGCCACGGCUAACUACGUG
rnacentral:rRNA from 1 species